rnacentral:misc_RNA from 1 species
GCACAAGCCAUUGCUGUUCAGUUCAGA